UGAUGUGAACCUUGGGUCAACCCACUUCUUAUGGGCAGGUCCAGAUGGGUAUUUCACACGUCCUUCAAUUCCACAUCAGCAGUAGAUGUCCCCAAGUAUAUGCAAAAGACAUCAAGCAUCUCACAAUAAGCAACUGAGGAUUUAGUCAAGCAAACAUAAUUGGUUAUAAAGCAACAUUGACAAACAGAACAAGACUGGUAGCUUUCAGGUUUUGAAAUUGUCUUAUCUUACAGUUAGAGCUGUGAGCUGUGACGAUGUUGUUUAUUCAUACAUUUGAUUCCUUCUGUCAUUGUUUAUAAACACCAUUACAUAAUAUUAUUAU
rnacentral:lncRNA from 1 species